UUAGAUGAUUUAAUAAUCCUAUAUGCUCUAGGCAUAGCUGAAAUACUAAGGAUAUAUUUCCAAAUAAUGCAGAACUGUAGAGGGGCAUUUAAAGACUUUCAGUCAUCGUGAGAGGAAGAAGAUGCCGGACAUGUUGAACUGGUUCAGAUGGUGUACAUGGGAUGCCUUCUAUACUAAUGUUACUGCCCAAGGGGUGAAGCAGGGUUUGGAGAGUUUGGAGAAAGGCGGGAUUCCCCCAAAGUUUUAUAAUAAUUGAUGACGGGUGGCAGUCAAUUGGCAUGGAUCCAACUAGUGAGAAAACAGAAGCAGAUAACUGAUAACUGUGCUAACUUCGCGAACAGAUUAACAAAUAUCAAGGAGAACCACAAAUUUCAAAA